UACGUAGGUCCCGAGCGUUGUCCGGAUUUAUUGGGCGUAAAGCGAGCGCAGGUGGUUUAUUAAGUCUGGUGUAAAAGGCAGUGGCUCAACCAUUGUAUGCAUUGGAAACUGGUAGACUUGAGUGCAGGAGAGGAGAGAGGAAUUCCAUGUGUAGCGGUGAAAUGCGUAGAUAUAUGGAGGAACACCGGUGGCGAAAGCGGCUCUCUGGCCUGUAACUGACACUGAGGCUCGAAAGCGUGGGGAGUAAACAGG
rnacentral:rRNA from 1 species